CCAAGUCUGACAGUAAUAGGCAGACAACUGCCCCGCUGUGGCAUACCAGGUGCUGAAGAAGGCUAAGUGAGGCCACAGAGAAGCUUUCCAGGUGACAGAUCGAGUCCUCCGGGCUGGCCUCUACCCCAGAGCUCACACAGGAGGCCUUGGCUGCUCACCUGCUAAUUAACUUAGCAGCACAGAGCUUCUUGAAAGUCUGAGCAGGGUGCCUGGAAGUUUUGCCCAAACCUGUGUAUAUGUGCGUCACGAAACUAGAAGGAGGGUGCUAAGAGGGAGAAAAAUCUUAAGACUAUUUGAUAACCCAUCUAAUUGGCGAAUCUUAUCAGCACCUGUAUAAAAACAGUUCCCAUUAACUGAGCAUGGUGGCACAGAACUAUAAUCCCAGCUCUUGGGAGGCAGAGGUACGGGGAGCUCAAGUUCAAGGAUAGCCUCGUUAUAGAGUGAGAACCUGUCUUGGAAAGAAAAUCCCAUAUAUACUUCAUAUAUAUACUUCAUGACUCAGUAUAUACCCACCCUUGUCAUAAAAUGCUUGUCUUAAGAGACAAAUUGAUAAAGACCCGGUAGACAAUAUUUAUCAGUACUUUUCAGUCUCAGAACAUGAUAUAAAUUCAUGAAGAACCCUUAUGAAAUAGCACAUCUGGAUACUCUCCCUUUACACCCUCACCCAGUUUCAAGAGUCUCAGCUAAUAGCUAAGACUUCACUGGUUGUAACUCUGAUAUAUCAUUAAUAUUAUUUACUGCAGUAGACUAGGCAUAGGAUCUGCUAGUCUUUAAAGACACAAUGGUGAACAAAAUGGAUAUAUUCCACGGGGAAGGUGGGGCUCCAGGGAUGGAUUAAGGUAAAGGAAAGAGGAGGGGUUGCCUGUGCCACCGGAUGGAGAGUAGUGCUAACCACUGCCCUAAUCAAACAUCUGGUCAGCAAUGAGCGUUUUCUAGUGCCUGGUUUUCCUGGCAGUAUUGCUGGAGAGAUGGGGGUCCGUGUUUCCAGGAAUAAUCCUAUGUUUCAGAUGCCUUAAGUGUUAAGUUCAGGUGCAAACGGCCCAUUGAAUCCUGACAGUCCACAGAUUUUAAGAAGUUUUGGUAUUUCUUGUUCAUUGCCUAUGGCCGUUGCCACUCUGAACCUUUGUUUGGGUAACUAGCAUAGAUUACUGGUUGAAUAAGAAUCAUCUCUUGCAGCCGGGCGGUGGUGACACACGCCUUUAAUCCCAGCACUUGGGAGGCAGAGGCAGGCAGAUCUCUGUGAGUUCGAGACCAACCUGGUCUACAAGAGCUAGUUCCAGGACAGGCUCCAAAGCCACAGAGAAACCCUGUCUCGAAAAAAAAAAAAAAAAAGAAUCAUCUCUUGCCUCUGCCCGAGGCUUCCCAUGCUCACGCCGUCCAAGGGUUACAGUGGGCUGCGUAAAAUCUAAAUCCUCUCACAUGGGUUGUGACAGUCCUGAGGUAGUCGUAGUCAUGUUUCAAGGAAAAUAAAUAACAGUCUAGCUGUCUGUAUUUCAAGUCUGGGUGGAUGAGGCCUUUUGACAGCUGUUUUAACCACCAAAUCGAAGGACUUUUUGAAACAGAACCGCCCUUAGAUCGGGGUGCUCCUUCGUCUUAAAAAGAGAAAGGGAAGCGGUGCAAGACUCCAGUGCCAAAGUCACCGCUUUGACGAGUUAUGCACCACCCCCGGGGGAAAGGCGCCCCCAU